UCUACGGGUGGCAGCAGUGGGGAAUAUUGGGCAAUGGGCGCAAGCCUGACCCAGCAACGCCGCGUGAAGGAAGAAGGCUCUCGGGUUGUAAACUUCUUUUAUCAGGGACGAAGCAAGUGACGGUCCCUGAUGAAUAAGCCACGGCUAACUACGUGCCAGCAGCCGCGGUAAUACGUAGGUGGCAAGCGUUAUCCGGAUUUACUGGGUGUAAAGGGGGUGUAGGCGGGAAAGCAAGUCAGAUGUGAAAACCAUGGGCUCAACCUGUGGCCUGCAUUUGAAACUGUUUUUCUUGAGUACUGGAGAGGCAGACGGAAUUCCUAGUGUAGCGGUGAAAUGCGUAGAUAUUAGGAGGAACACCAGUGGCGAAGGCGGUCUGCUGGACAGCAACUGACGCUGAGGCGCGAAAGCGUGGGGAGCAAACAGGAUUAGAUACCCUUGUAGUC
rnacentral:rRNA from 1 species